UACUCGUAGCAAAUAGCUCCGUAACACGUGGCCAAACUGCCCUACGGACUGGAAUAACCUCGGGAAACUGAGGCUAAUUCCUGAUACGGUUCCCAUGCUGGAAUGCCGGGAACCCGAAACGUUCCGACGCCGUAGGAUGUGGCUGCGGCCGAUUAGGUAGACGGUGGGGUAACGGCCCACCGUGCCGAUAAUCGGUACGGGUUGUGAGAGCAAGAACCCGGAGACGGAAUCUGAGACAAGAUUCCGGGCCCUACGGGGCGCAGCAGGCGCGAAACCUUUACACUGCACGCCAGUGCGAUAGGGGGACCCCGAGUGCGAGGGCAUACAGUCCUCGCUUUUCUAGACGGUAAGGCCGUCCAGGAACAAGAGCUGGGCAAGACCGGUGCCAGCCGCCGCGGUAAUACCGGCAGCUCGAGUGAUGACCGAUUUUAUUGGGCCUAAAGCGUCCGUAGCCGGCCGAGCAAGUCUGUCGGGAAAUCCACCAGCUCAACUGGUGGGCGUCCGGCGGAAACUGCUUGGCUUGGGACAGGAAGACCCGAGGGGUACGUCCGGGGUAGGAGUGAAAUCCUGUAAUCCUGGACGGACCGCCGAUGGCGAAAGCACCUCGGGAGGACUGAUCCGACGGUGAGGGACGAAAGCUGGGGUCUCGAACCGGAUUAGAUACCCGGGUAGUCCCAGCCGUAAACGAUGUCUGCUA
rnacentral:rRNA from 1 species